AUACGAAAGGUGCAAGCGUUGUUCGGAUUUACUGGGCGUAAAGAGAGUGUAGGUUGUUUAUUAAGUCGGAUGUGAAAUCCCGGGGCUCAACCUCGGAACUGCAUUCGAUACUGAUAGGCUAGAGUUUGGGAGGGGUAAGCGGAAUUCCGUGUGUAGCAGUGAAAUGCGUAGACAUACGGAGGAACACCUGAGGCGAAGGCGGCUUACUGGACCAAUACUGACACUGAGACUCGAAAGCGUGGGUAGCAAACAGGAUUAGAUACCCUAGUAGUCC
rnacentral:rRNA from 1 species